rnacentral:rRNA from 1 species
UACGGAGGGUGCGAGCGUUGUCGUGAAUCACUGGGCGUAAAGGGCGCGUAGGUGGCGCAGGAAGUCAACGGUGAAAGUUCGGGCUCAACCCUGAAUCGGCCGUCGAUACUCCUGGGCUCGAGCACUGUAGAGGCAGAUGGAAUCCGGGUGUAGCGGUGGAAUGCGUAGAGAUCCGGAAGAACACCGGUGGCGAAGGCGGUCUGCUGG